rnacentral:piRNA from 1 species
UAAAAAAUUAUUAAGACAAAU